rnacentral:rRNA from 1 species
GGCAGCAGUGGGGAAUAUUGCACAAUGGGCGCAAGCCUGAUGCAGCCAUGCCGCGUGUAUGAAGAAGGCCUUCGGGUUGUAAAGUACUUUCAGCGGGGAGGAAGGGUUCAGCUUGAACAGAGCUGGACUUUGACGUUACCCGCAGAAGAAGCACCGGCUAACUCCGUGCCAGCAGCCGCGGUAAUACGGAGGGUGCAAGCGUUAAUCGGAAUGACUGGGCGUAAAGCGCACGCAGGCGGUCAAUUAAGUU